UACGUAGGGUGCGAGCGUUAAUCGGAAUUACUGGGCGUAAAGCGUGCGCAGGCGGUUCUGAAAGUCAGCUGUGAAAGCCCCGGGCUUAACCCUGGGAAUGGCGGUUGAAACUACAGGACUAGAAUCUGGCAGAGGGGGGGUGGAAUUCCACGUGUAGCAGUGAAAUGCGUAGAUAUCGAGAGGAACACCUGCGGCGAAGGCGGCGUUCUGGACUGUUCUGACACUGAAAAACGAAAGCCAGGGGAGCAAACGGG
rnacentral:rRNA from 1 species